GCUUACCUGUGGACUCAACAGAGGCAUAGAACCUCGGGGCUUAGGAGGAAGAGGAUGAAAAAAAAUCAACAAAACCUAUUGACAUCAAGAGGGAAUGAUAUUGAUAAAAAUCCCAAACUUUUCAGGACACACAGAGCCAUAAAACAGGAUAGUAAAGGAAACAUCUAUUUUAUUUGGCCAUCCUUUCCUUAUCAGACACUGCAACCUCCAAUAAAAUGCACCCAAUUUUAUGAAGUCAUAAUGAAACAAGGAAGCAUAGCAUGCCACAGUUGGAUAGGCUUCAGC
rnacentral:lncRNA from 1 species